AGAGUUUGAUCAUGGCUCAGGACUAUCGCUGGCGGCGUGCCUAACACAUGCAAGUCUGAGGAGAAUGGGAUUCGCAAGAUUCCCUAGUAAACUGGCGAAAGGGUGAGUAACACGUAGGCAACCUACCCUUCAGUGAGGAAUAACACUGGGAAACCGGUGCUAAUGCCACAUGAUAUCCCGAGUUCGCAUGGACACGGGAUCAAAGAGAGCUUCGGCAACGGAGCAUCGCUGAUGGAUGGGCCUGCGUCCUAUUAGCUUGUUGGUGGGGUAACGGCCUACCAAGGCUACGAUGGGUAGCUGGUCUGAGAGGAUGACCAGCCACACUGGCACUGAGACACGGGCCAGACUCCUACGGGAGGCAGCAGUGAGGAAUAUUGGGCAAUGGGCGAAAGCCUGACCCAGCAACGCCGCGUGAGUGAUGAAGUACCGAGGUACGCAAAGCUCUGUUAGGAGGGACGAAUGUCCGGCUUGCCGGAAGUGACGGUACCUCCAGAGAAAGCUCCGGCUAACUCCGUGCCAGCAGCCGCGGUAAUACGGGGGGAGCAAGCGUUGUCCGGAUUUAUUGGGCGUAAAGAGCGUGUAGGCGGGCCGAUAAGUCGGUGGUGAAAUCUCUCGGCUUAACCGAGAAAUCGCCUUCGAUACUGUCGGUCUUGAGUAUGGAAGAGGGAAGUAGAAUUCUCUGGUGUAGCGGUGACAUGCGUAGAUAUCAGGAGGAAUACCAGUAGCGUAAGCGGCUUCCUGGUCCGUUACUGACGCUAAAACGCGAAAGCGUGGGGAGCAAACAGGAUUAGAUACCCUGGUAGUCCACGCCGUAAACGAUGGGUACUAGGUGUUGGAGGAUCGAUCUCUUGCAGUGCCGAAGCUAACGCAUUAAGUACCUCGCCUGGGGAGUACGAUCGCAGGAUUGAAACUCAAAGGAAUUG
rnacentral:rRNA from 1 species